CUCAUGGUGAGAGCGGCGGCCCUGGGGGAAGCGUGGUAGCCCCUAGAAGGUCCAGGAUGGAACACAGAAGCUUUCCCUUGGGAUAUGUGAGUGCUCCAGCAGUUGUAAAGAGAGCUCUGAACAUGUGAGUGAGGAGAGCAAUUGAGGCCUUUGGAAUGAGUACACAUCCAGGAGUGAAGAAGACAAGCUCAACUGCCAUUCUCUGAGCAGUUCAAGGCAUACUGAGGUGCGGGAGUUGUGUGGUGGUCCACUCUGACUGCAAGCACCCCUUUCUUGAACCGAACAGAGUCAAGUGGAAUCAAAGGACAUUACCUGUUGAUUCUUGGGCAAGGCCCAGAAUUUGGUGGACAUACUUAAAGAAGAAAGGAAUCUUCAGCUAAAGUGUCUACGAUCAAUUCAGAUUUGGAGGGCAUGGAUCUUCUGACAGUAGGGGCCUUUCUAGGAUUUUUUGGUUGAAGAGAUGAACUUCAACUUGGUUCCAGAUUGGUGGUCCAGCUAUUCUGCUGGCAACAUUUUUCAGGGCAAGGCUUUUGCUACUGGAAUGAUUUAAGGAAGAUCCCUCAGUGUUUCAGAGUAAAGAUAUUUCUAAAGAAGUACCUGUGUCAUUGCCCAUCUUGAAGAUUGACUUUUAUGGAUUGCUCAAAUACUGAUAUCGGCUCAAUGUCAAUAUAUACUCCUACAUACAAAAUCCAUCUUCUAAUCAUAAUCACUAGGUAAGAUGCUAGUGCAAGUUGAAGUUCUUAAAGGAGAUGACCUGAACAGCCUUCUUAGUGUACCAGGGAGACCAGAUUGAGUUUAAACUAUGUUUACCUUGCACUCAGACACGCCUAGGUGUGUCUGGGAGAUUAGAAGAUGGUGUUCAAAAAGGAUCUACUUAAACAAGGGAGACAUUAAUUUGGAUUCCUUUGGUUGUAAAUUUCCAAAAAAAAAAAAAAAAG
rnacentral:antisense_RNA from 1 species